UACGGAGGGUGCAAACGUUGCUCGGAAUCAUUGGGCGUAAAGGGUGCGUAGGCGGUUUGGUAAGUCUUAUGUGAAAUCUACAGGCUCAACUUGUAGUCUGCAUGAGAAACUGCCGGGCUUGAGUGUGGGAGAGGUGAGUGGAAUUCCUGGUGUAGCGGUGAAAUGCGUAGAUAUCGGGAGGAACACCAGUGGCGAAGGCAGCCUCCUGGGCCAACACUGACGCUCAUGCACGAAAGCGUGGGGAGCAAACAGG
rnacentral:rRNA from 1 species